AAAGCUGACGUCCAAAAACCGAUGUCUAUUACACGUUUCUUUUUCACGUCGUACUAACGUCAGGUUCUGGUCGGUGUCCCAACGGUAGGUAAAAAUUAAUAAAAAAUAAUCCUUAUACUAUUAUUAUUUGUGGUACAUUAUAUGUAUCAAAGUCACGAGUUUUUAAUAGUGCUUUUACAUUUAAUCAUAGUGACAGAAAAAGGAAAUAAAACAUAAUUAUAAUUCGAAUAUACAGCCACGUGGAGGAAAAAUUCAAAUUCGUAAGCGUUUCGUACGUUUUGGCGGUGGUCAGGAAUCGGGAUGCAUUGAUAAAGUGAAUAUUCUAGAUUUUCUUGGAGAAAAAGGUAGUUCAAGUGUUGGACAUGCUCUUAAAGGUCGGAGGGACAGAAAUACGUGACAAUGUAAAAAGAAACAUGGGAAAUGAAAAUGAUAUUACAAACGCCAUUGGACAUUAACAUAUCCUCCGGACAGACGAGGGGUGGUGAGAGAAGGUCAUAUAUCUAAAAGCAUCACACCUCCAAAUUCGUGCUAAUUCUCAUGGAUAUUUAAAAGUAUAUCUUUGUGAAGUAACUAAAAGGAAGUAGUUUAUACGUUAGUGACAAUUAUCAAAAGGAGGUCAAAAUAUGCAUAAUAGCACUAAAUGUUUUAGUAAUGCUGUAGAAAUAUAGUAAAAAUACUACAAAUCUGAAAUCUGUCAUUAAUUGCUUGAAACAUUAUUAUCCGAAUCUUUUAACUUUUCUUGAAAUUAUAAUAUUUUCAUUUUGUUUAUAAGGCAAAUUUUGAAUAUCCUCUAUAUGUUUUAUUUAUUUCAUUGUUUUUGUAA